GAUGAACGCUGGCGGCGUGCCUAAUACAUGCCAGUCGAGCGAACGGACGAGAAGCUUGCUUCUCUGAUGUUAGCGGCGGACGGGUGAGUAACACGUGGAUAACCUACCUAUAAGACUGGGAUAACUUCGGGAAACCGGAGCUAAUACCGGAUGAUAUUUUGAACCGCAUGGUUCAAAAGUGAAAGACGGUCUUGCUGUCACUUAUAGAUGGAUCCGCGCUGCAUUAGCUAGUUGGUAAGGUAACGGCUUACCAAGGCAACGAUGCAUAGCCGACCUGAGAGGGUGAUCGGCCACACUGGAACUGAGACACGGUCCAGACUCCUACGGGAGGCAGCAGUAGGGAAUCUUCCGCAAUGGGCGAAAGCCUGACGGAGCAACGCCGCGUGAGUGAUGAAGGUCUUCGGAUCGUAAAACUCUGUUAUUAGGGAAGAACAUAUGUGUAAGUAACUGUGCACAUCUUGACAGUACCUAAUCAGAAAGCCACGGCUAACUACGUG
rnacentral:rRNA from 1 species